GCAGACGUGACUUGACGCCGCCCCCGCGGCCCUCCAGGUGGCGCUGUACCUCAAGGCCAGGACCGGCAGGCCGGGAGGCGGCAGGCAGCGGCCGGCGCUCCGUGCCCCCGCCAGAGACCGAGCCCAAAACCCAUCCUAGGCGCACGGCACCCCAUCUCCGGAGGUACACUCCGUGCUCAUCGCACCGCUUCGGGCCUUUGAACGCCCCGCAGUGCACACUCUUUUCAUAACCACGUAUACCACAGGGUGUGCGCCCAGCCGCUGUGGCGGUCCUGAUGUUGUAUUGAGGUGCUUUUGUCUUUACUGCCUCUGAUUCUUUUGAUAUAUAUAUAUUUAAAUCACGCGGUUAUAAUCAUGUAUAACCAAAUACAUUAUUAUAACCCAUGCUGACUGCAUCCGGUAUUUUUUUCCUUAGCCACCAUCUCUGGCACACAGCUAUGUCUCAUUUAGCCGUGUGUUUGCUGGAUGGAAUAAUUCGGAUGACAAAUUACAAAAGCAGAACUGGAAAACAGUUCAAAACAAAGCUAUUCAGGAGUGUUCUGGCUUUCACUUGCACUGAUAAAGAAUACAGAUCGAUAUUACAACAGGUCCAUUGCAAACAAAAAUGAACAUGCUGAGAAGAAUUAACGAAUGACUGUAGUACUUCCUUGUCCCUGCCCAAAAAGAUCUACAAAUGGAAAUCAGGUGGAGACCUCUAUUCCAAAGAUAACUAACUUGUGUUCUCCGUUUUAUGACACCUCAGUAACGUUCACUGAAGUUCAGAGGUAGCUUUAGGUUUUGCCAUUGACAGGUACUGAUUGGGUACAUUGAUUGGGUACUGAUGUACCCAACUGCCCCAAUUGCAAGGACCCUGCCCAGCUCUUGGAUUUCAGAGGCAGCUCAAGGCGAGCUGCCAGCUAGAACACUCAGCGCUGCUGUGAUGAAGGGCAUUUGAAGAAGUCUGAUCUGAUCUGAAGCACGUUGUUUUACGGACUUUGUGGCUUCUUGCUGCAGAACGUCCCCGUCCUCAUCUGCGCUGGCAUGUGUUGCUGUCCCUUUUGAUCUGCUUCAUCUGAAAAAUAUCCCCAAGUAUAAUCCACAUCCCAAAACAACAGCAGGAACAAAUCCCCGUUGUUAGUACCCGCCAGCAAACAUGGAAGAAAAGAACCUCCUUAACUUCCAAACCAAAAUAAAAAACAACAGAAAGAUUUAUCUAGAUAGACAUAAAAAAAUACUUAAAUUGUGGAGCUGUAAUUAUAGCAUUAACAAAUAGUAACAGCACUAUACCCAGUAAAUCUGCUCCCUAUUAGUUUCAGGGACUUGCAACUGUUUAUCCUGUGUUUAAAAUACAUUUUAUUUCUAGCCUCCAUCAUUAACCCUGUGGAACUGAGACAGCCAAUGCCCCAAGUCUCCCCUUGUGAUUUGUUGCUGUAAUCGUUACACGCCUCACUGAGCUGUAUCUUUUUAUCCCAUUGGAGGGCAUCAGUUGACAAUUAGAACAUUCAGUAAUUUCAGUAAUGCUGCUGCAGGAGAUAACACAGUUUGGCUCUGCAGUCCCAGAAUGAAUGUAUAGAGAUAAACUCUGGGAUAUUUUAAUAUAUGAUCUAUUUAAAUUAAGCGUACUUCAUAAAGAAUCUUCUGGAGACAGAAAACAUGGGCUUUUCUUGUUCUUAAACCAUAAAUCACUCUCAGGUAUGGGCUUUCCUAGGUCUCAAUGGCUACCAGAAUCACUGUAGCUGUGCAUUUGCCCCCCCCUUUCCCACCCCCUCCUUUCUUUCUUCCCCCUUUUCUUUUCUCUUUGAUGGUCAGCUCAGGGUUUGGCUUUAAAAGCUUGGCAGCUUCACCUAAAGAAACAUUAGCACCAGUGAAAUAUCAGGCCUUCUGCAGCAACAUACUUGAAAAGCCUGAUCCCUCUGCUAUUUUUUAGCUACAUAACAGAAAUUUACACACACACAUAUACAGAUGCAUAUGUGUGUAUAUGUGUAUAUAUGUAUAUAUAUUCCCUCCCCACCCCCCAAAAAAAGGAAGCUUCAGUGCACCUGGCUGAAAUAAAAGUGGUUUAUGAAGAAACAGUUUGUAACACACAGCGAGGUGCAAACCAGGCACGUUGUAGAAACACAAUAUAGAAGCAGGACAAUAUGAAUGGAUACUUUAUCUAUCAUAGAAAAAGGAUAGGUAGGUAAGAAUUUUUUUCCCCUCUAUUUGAAUGAGCAGUUUAUAUUUCCAAAUCUGAUGAGUUUCAUUAUUUGAAUUCUCACAAUAAACAGACGCAUCCUAUUUUGAGGAAUGGAGGAGUGCAUGAGCUUUAAGCAAAGCCAUCAGCUGUUACACAUGCUUCUUUUCAGUAUUUAGUAUGGGAGAUUUUAUGAGAAAACUAAGGAUCAGUUUUAGGGAAAAUGCACUUCCCCUAUAUCAAAUGACAUGAUUCAAACUGAACAGAUUUGCUCCCAAACUGAAAUUCAGAUUAACGUUACAGAUGCAUAUUCAGAUCUAUUAACGUAAUAAAUUCCUGUCCUCUACUUUGACCCUUCAGAACUUCUCUCCAAGUGUUCAUUUACGGAAUGCUCUUGGCUCCCCUUGCUGGCAUUUUGAUAGCUGCUCUAGAAGGAGACAAGCAGAGGAAGAAGCAGAGCUGCAGCCAUCUCAGUGGGUGUUAGCUAAACACAGAGCUAAAACAAGAAGCACAAUCUAGCUGUGAUAUUUUUAAGGUUUUUUUAAAGCUUCUGCACAGCAGAUUAAGAGCGGCACUACUCUGAACAAUGAAUUGAGUAUAAUAUCUCUCCACAAUUUUAAUGGAGAUUUAAUGUUGUAAGAGUUUCAAGGAAAUGUCUGGGAAGGGAUAGUUCUCUGGAAUUUCUGAUGGCCACAUUCUCUACAGAGCACUUCUUUCAGAGCAAAUGAACAAGAUGAAGUCAGCGGAGCCACACUACUGCAGGAUCAUGUAAUGCUGAGAAGAAUGGACCUCCUAUAUUUGGCUGCUGAAGUGAACACACGAUGUUUUGUAACAUGCUCAGUAAGCAGCUGUCAUGCGUUUGACUGCUCUUUGCAGGGAUCAGCAAAAGCAAAGCACUACUGCUGCUCCUGGUCAUUCUGGAAGGCAAAUGAUUUUGAUGCAAGUGGGAAAAAGGAAGCCAUUUGCACACUCCUUUGGGAUUAACGUGCAGUAGCUGAGAACACCUGACAUUCUCAGUUUGUUAUCUUUCUUGGAUAAUCUUUGAUGAGGGAACCACAUGCAUUUUCCUCUCUCUUCUUCACAUGUGCAUCCUAGACUUAUGGAGAGCUGUCUAAAAUAAGGGAGAAUGUGGCAGCGUGACUGACAUCUCCUUUCCAUACAGAUGAGAGAUCUGCAUGUGGAGAUCACAGGCACGCCAUCUGAUCCUGAAUGAAGCAUGUGGGAUAUGACCCCAAGCGAAGAUAUGGGCUCUGGUCUAAUAAAAUUUCUUUUAGCCACCUUUGUAAUUAGAGCCUGUUUUGCAAGUGUGCUCUAUGAUGGCUGGUUCGUGUUAAAAGGAAAAUGAAAAAUGUUUUUGAGUAGGAUAGAGGUUAAUACUGGUAUUUUGUUUAAAUAGCUCAGUACUGCUGCAAGGACAGGGACUUGCAGAUAAUAGGAAUUUAUUUUUACAGACUACCUUCUGAAAGCACAAAAUCAUAGGCACACGCUGUGGAUUCUGAUGAAGCUGGUGAUGUGGAUAUUUGUAAGUAGAAAUAUUUAACUUAUGAAUAUUACGGCAGUUUAGCAUAUUUGAAUAUUAUUUUUCCCAUUGUGGUUCAUCUUUCCUCCCAUACUAAAUGCUGUGAUCACACCAUGCUCACUUAGGACAUCUCUGUCACUGUCGCGGCAAAAGUCUGUGAUUCCCUGGCCACAGGACAUUUCUAAUGUUAAGAAAGUUUGCUGUUUGUUAUGGGAGAGGUUAGCAGGAAGGACAAAGUAUGAUGUUGCCUAAACUGAGUUACUUGCUUAGUGUGGGCAUCAGUGGCCAGCAAAAGUAGCAAGUGCUGCACUAAAGAAGGGGGACUGAGGUGAGCUAGGUGAAGGCUAGGGAAGUUCCUACCUUCAGGCAGAUUAUUUUGUUAGGCUAGAGAGAACAACUAAAUCCAAACGGUAAUAAAUCUAUGCUCACUUGAGGAUGGAGCAGGCCAGGGUUUGACCACAUGCUGCUGCACCCACUGUUAUGCCAAUCACGGGGAGGAAAAAAAACCCACAACAAAAUACAUAUAAUGUGUAUUUCUAUGAUUCUGUGACUGUGACAUCUGCAGAAGACUGGACAGUAGAUGCAGCUGCACAGGUAGGGCAGCACUUCUGCUGGCACAGCUUCUCUUUUAGCCUAGAGGAGGGGAGGAAACGGUGCAGGAGAAGAAGGGUUGCUCUAGUGAUGUACACACUAUAAUGGCUUCUAGCAUAUAUUGUUAUACAGGUAAACUGCUCCUUGUUUAGACAGAGAUGAGUGGGAACAGCUAUCAUAAACCAGAUUAUUAUUUCUUUGGCAGUUCAAUUAUGUCAAAGGAAGUUUGAGCCUUACUGCCACUGAUGGAGAAAUUUGAACCCGUACAACUCUGUACAAGGCCUCUGCACCACCAAAGGGUGUGCUUGGACUGUUUAUGAGUACUGACUCAGGUCAUACAUCAGUACAAACUCACUGAGUAUUAGGAGCACCUGGCCACCUACUUCAGUGCUUGGCAGCGUGGGAUUCCCUGCACAGCCACCUGUGGGGGAGAUGGAUCCUUACCACGUACCUGUGUGCACAGUGAGCACACGGGGCCUGAGCACUCAGCUGUGCUGCUGUGACAGGCAUGGCUGAGCAGAGGUCUGACUGCCAGCUGGGUCAGGGACGUGCUGGGAUUUCACGAGUGCUUCAGUGAAUGUCUUCCGCAGCAAAAUUAAGAGAUGAGAAGAAAAAUCAGUGACCUCCAGGUCAAAGGCCAGAUCUCACUAUCCAUACUCCCCCACUGAACUGUCACAGUUACAAGGUCAGAACUCAAUUUUCAUUGCCCAUAAAUGAACACACCCUGUAUGACUUGAAAUCAGUUGGGAGUGAAUAUUCACAAGAAAUAAAAGCAGUAAUAUUUUUUAAAAGAACCUUUGAAUUACACACAACUCUGCUAGUGGUUUGCUGUGAUCAAAGCCAGUCAGCUCACCAGCGCAGGGCUUUGGAUCCUUAUUACACUCGUGAGACUUACCUGAGGACUGGCAGUCUGGCUGCUUGUCUGACAGCUCCUGGUCCUCAGUGCAGUUUACACGCAAGGCUACUGAAGGUACCUGUGAGGCGAUCAUUUCAUGUAUGUAUUUUUAAUAAGCUUGUCAGGAAAAUCUGCGAGGUGACUCCAUCACAUGCCAGAGUGGUGGGCCACACAUCUCUACCAGGGAAUUCACAAGAAUCUCAAAGAGGUAGGAAAUAAUUGGAGAAACUGAAAGUGGUAAGAUCUGAUAACAAACUCGGUAUUGUUCUUAUGUUUAUCCCCACUCAGUGCUGGGAUAGGCUGACAAGAUCUACAAAAAGUAACAAGGCUGAUUAAGAAGUGCCCAGAUGUGCUGUAGGCACCUGAACAGAGAGAGGGAUUUACCCUACUGAGAAACUUGAGAUGUCUACCAAAGCAACUGCAAUAUCACUGAGCAGUAGUAACACCUGCAUUUUGUCUGAUAUAAAAGUCUCAACAUCAGCAUUUUAUAGUCCCUACUUCUUCUGUGUUUACAAUUAAUUUUAGGAAUAAGUGCAAAUUUACACAUUGAAAAGUUGUAGUUACUGUAAAACUUCAUACAAUCUCUUAAAUAAAUGAAUGUUUUUUUUUAAAAAUACACCUAUGAUUUAGUAUGAAAAGAAGGAUCCCACUGAGAGUUUCUAGGGAGGACACGUCUCACAGUAUAGGUUGAAAGAACUGCUGGCAUGUGACUUUGGGAUCCAGCAGAAAUAUACAAAUGCAUCAUAGCAACAGUGAGUAGAGAGAAAUUCACAAUAGGAAAUAAGGGGAGCUGAAUGGCGUGGCAUCCAGACACAGAAAUAGGGGCACCUGUGGGACAGGAUCCAUCCAGAACAAUGUUAAAAAUUGUCUAAGGUGGCUUAGCACGCUGGCCUAUGCUCUGAUACUGAUUUCAUGCAAAAUUUCCCAUUUCUUAAUAAAGCGGGUUUCUCAGUAUGUAACCAAUGGAGCGAGGGUUACUAUUUCAGCCAGAGCCGGUAGUUUUCUGGUUUUUUAGCACCAAAAGAUUUGAAAGAAAAUCCUUUACCUUUCCUGAAACAAAAGCAUCACUCCGACCCCAUGUUCUGUCCUUUUCACUUACCUUAUGAACAACGCAUCUAUCAUCUUCUGAUGGGCCUAGAAAGUAAACCCUUGGCAGCUAUGUUUAUUAUCCCACAACAGUAGUUGAGAAACUCCUAUUUUCUCCUUGUUCCAUGAAAUACAGUUUUAUACUCCUGUUGCACUACUGCAGUGAGGACCCCAGCCAGUGUGGACCAGAAGGUGAAUUCUGCAGCCCCCUCUCAGGUGAAAGUCUGAUUCAAACCAACAAUGACAACUUGGUUGAGGUGAAGCCCCAAAAUAGGCUCAUCUGAUUUUGCCCUUAAGUAAAAACAACCGGAUAACAAUAUGUUAAAAAAAAUGGUCUGGAGGACAAAGUGUUGUUAAUAUUGCCAGCUAAAAGUUUGUCAGAGUGCAAAGGCCACUUCUUAAUACAGAAAACGUGCCCAAUCUUGAGUUCCUAAGUUGUAUUACAGCUUCUUUUUUUGAGUAAAGUUUAAUUAAUUUGAAUUAACUAUGAGAUGAAUUAGUUUAUUUGAUGUGUCUAUUCUACCAAUGACAUUAAGAUUUAAAAUUCAGGAUUGAAUUGACCUUGAGCAGCAUACGUACUCAAACUGUGUGAUAAAGAAGAAUAUUAAUCAUUUAAUUUGAUAAAAUGAACAGCUGUUCUAGUUGAUUGGAAACAGCUAAAAGUGUAAAACGUAUUUUGUGAAUGCAAAAUUAAAAGUUAAUUUUAUUAUAGAGUGCAAUUUGCCAACUAGAAAUACAUUCCUGAGAUGUAAGCAAUAUAUUUUUGUAACGCUCUACCCACACAUCAGAAAGGUUACGUAGAUUUAAAUGCCAUAUUACUAAAAAAGUUGAACGAUUUCAAUGGAAAAGUGAUCAUAUGAUUUAGCUAUUUUGAGAUGGAUAUGAAACAGCUCUGACAGAUUUGCCCUCCGUCUCCAAUGCACAGUUUAGAAGCUGCAGUGACAUAACAUUUCAUUAAAUAUAAACUGCUACUGUCACUUACCUUGUGCCACGGAUGCCUAGUUUUCUACUUUUCCAUAAUUUCGUGGGAUGUUGGUAUAUAUUUAUUAUUACUGUUUUUGUUAUUCUUUUUUUUUUUUUUUAACUCAGAGAUUAAGAUUUUAAUUAGCAUUUGACAUCAUAGAUUUUCAACGAAAUGCAUCUCUUCUAACAGGCAUUUAACUCAUUUUGGUUGCACAUAUUUUCAACCUGUGCAAUUUCAUGCUGUAAAUGUACCUAUCAUGUGGACAUUAUACAAAGUGCGAGGGUACAAUAUUAACACAACAUAUCUACACAUAAAGUCAAGCACCUCCCCCACCUUCGAGCACGGUGCUGGCACUGCCCGGGCAGUAGUUUUCUUCUUAAUGCCUGAAGUGUGAACCCGCAGUAACCAAGCGAGCGGUGGAAGUGUCGGCGCAUUGGUACCAGUCCUGUUGCGAGGAGUGACUUAGAGCCCCAGAGAUUCUGGCCAGACCUGUCAGCACAGAUUGCUGGGUAGGCAUACCUCAGCUCAUCAUCUAACUGGAGAACAGGUUUCCAUAAUGGCCCAGCUUAGAUGUGACUUUCAGGCUGUUUUAUCUGCUCUCUCAGCGCUGCUCCCCACUCCCUAUUCACGCUGAACUCAUGCCAGAAGGCAGCCAACACACUGCUCCACCUUAUGUUAGUACCUUGCCUUGGUCUGGGCACUUAGCAUAGCAGAGAAAGGCUGCUAUCCCGUGGCCAUCUUUGAGCCAUUAUCCAUCAUGUAAGAGGAUCUUUUGUACUCUGGGACACCACCAUUCCCCCUCCCCAGAUACCAACAGAAGCUCUCCCAUUACUGUCCGUUUGAGGCACAUCUGAUCUGUGUACAGAACCGAAAGACUACUUACUGAAAGAGGCCCUUUUCUACAGCAGCCUUGAAUUCUGCAACAUUACAUUCCUACUGUAACUAAAUCUCAAAGCAAGGAAGGAGGCUGUCGCUGUGUGCCAGGAAACAUUUUGAAAAGCAGGAGCACUGUGUUUUUUCCCAAUGACGUAUUUAAGUGACAGUUGUAAACGGGAUGUGCUGUUGUCUCAACAACUUUCAGAAGUAAGGACUCCUGAACCAGUCCCAUCUGUCACUGCCUCCGCUGCCAUCGCUCACUCUGUAACACCAAAGGCACCUCGCUACUCCCCAGCACACUUCUGGAGACUGAAUGCUGGGCACUGACUGCCAACCAGCAACCCAAAGGUGUUUCUCACAGGGCUUGCUGUGGCAGGACAGGUUACAGAAGGUUCAGCAAUAGUAAAGAAUAUAACAAAUCGGGUCUUAAUUAAAUAAUUCGACCCUAACAGCAUGGUGCUAGAAAUGAAUUCAGAAUGAUAACCACUACGAUAUCGUCAAAUAGCUGUACCAUAGAAACUAUCCACUAACUUCUCAUUAUUUCAGAGGUGAGUGUUCUAGUGGUAUCAUCUCAUUAUUUCCUGAGGGCACAUCUCCCUCCCAGGCCCAGCACCCCCACGGACACACUCAUCCUCCAUGUCCCGUCACCAUCAGCGCUGCCCGGCCCGCUGCCAUGCAGACCCAGCUCUGCAGCCGGCACUGUGGGCUCGGUGCCACCACAGCUCGGGCUUGUGGGCAGCCAGGGAGAACAGCCGGCCUGGGGGUGAAAUAACGCGGUUGCUAUCUUAAAGAGCAAUGUGGAGCAGGCUUCUCCUGGUUUGUUUCAUACCAUUUUCAGUCAGAAGAGAACUUGCUAUAGUAAAAAACCUCAUAUUUUCACACAGGUUUAUGCCCGAACUCACGCGAUGCCUGACGGCACACAGGAUACCCCAAAGAUGUGGCUGCCCACAAAAAGUACCUCGAAGCAGUUCGGGGCCACACGCCGUCCCUUCUGCCGGGGCUGUCCCGCGGCGGCACACCGGGAGGACAGGGAGCCUUGCGCCCUCACAUCCUGUGCUCUGCAGACAGGUGCGUUGAGGCAGCAGCUUUGGCUUUGCCGCGCCUCAGCCGCAGCCGGGCAGGGGACGAGCGACGCGGCCCGCGCUCCUCCGACGGCCGUUCCCGCCCGGCACUGAGGUGCGGACCGGAAGGCGCGGUCCGCUUCCGCGCUCGCGGCCCCACAGUCUGUAACCGAGCAGAGCCUGAGG
ensembl:lncRNA